CAGUCGCCACGGUAAUACGGAGGAUCCAAGCGUUAUCCGGAAUCAUUGGGUUUAAAGGGUCCGUAGGCGGUUUAGUAAGUCAGUGGUGAAAGCCCAUCGCUCAACGGUGGAACGGCCAUUGAUACUGCUGAACUUGAAUUAUUAGGAAGUAACUAGAAUAUGUAGUGUAGCGGUGAAAUGCUUAGAGAUUACAUGGAAUACCAAUUGCGAAGGCAGGUUACUACUAAUUGAUUGACGCUGAUGGACGAAAGCGUGGGGAGCGAACAGGAUUAGAUACCCCCGUAGUCCCUGUCUCUUAUAC
rnacentral:rRNA from 1 species